UUCCUACGGGGGGCUGCAGUAAGGAAUAUUGGGCAAUGGACGCAAGUCUGACCCAGCCAUGCCGCGUGAAGGAAGACGGCCCUAUGGGUUGUAAACUUCUUUUCUCAGGGGGUAAACUCCGGAACGUGUUCCGGACUGAAAGUACCUGAGGAAUAAGCAUCGGCUAACUCCGUGCCAGCAGCCGCGGUAAUACGGAGGAUGCGAGCGUUAUCCGGAUUCAUUGGGUUUAAAGGGUGCGCAGGCGGAUAUAUAAGUCGGAGGUGAAAUUCUGAUGCUCAACAUCAGCCGUGCCUUCGAUACUGUAUAUCUAGAGUCAAGUUGGAGUAGGCGGAAUGUGUUGUGUAGCGGUGAAAUGCUUAGAUAUAACACAGAACACCGAUCGCGAAGGCAGCUUACUAAACUUUGACUGACGCUCAUGCACGAAAGCGUGGGGAUCAAACAGGAUUAGAUACCCCAGUAGUC
rnacentral:rRNA from 1 species